GAGGGUAUAGCUCAGUGGUAGAGUGCAUGCUUAGCAUGCACAAGGUCCUGGGUUCAAUCCCCGGCACCUCCA
rnacentral:tRNA from 1 species